UUUAAGAUGAACUUUGGAUGUUGAGACAUAAUUGAAUAAUUAUAAGUAUAAAAAAAAAAGACAUAUGAAAGUAGAGUCAUACUUUACAUGUUGUCUACACCGAAUGAAGUGUGUGUUUGGAAAGGAUAGAAUAUAAAGUAACACCGAAUGAAGUGUGUUUGGAAAGGAUAGAAUAUAAAGUAACACCUCACACUAAGAGAGAAACAUGGAGUGGGUCGACGCAAUUAGAAGAUAUCUAAAAGGCUACACCUGUUUGGGUUUAUGUCUGAAGCCACAAAUCCUAGCUUGUGUUCCAAAUGAAGUGCCUUGACCACCUUUUGCAUAACUGAGGCUUAUGAAAUUUCAUUGACAAAAAGUGUCCUGCCAUAAUAUGAAAUUAAAUAAACCUAGACAACAAAGAUGUUUAGCUCCUUGGAACUUGAUAUGAUUUAUAUAAAAGAAUGUUGUAUUGGGAGAAAGAAUUAAUAACAGGAGGUGGCUUGAAAACGGCUGAAGAAUGAAAUUGUAGAUGCCAAAGAGGUCUCUAUCACACUGAAAAGGACAUUCUUCAACACAUCAAUAAGAGUGGCCAACCCUGUCCCUCUUACAAUAUUUCCUCUAUCAGCUGUGUUAUCUAGAGACACGUAUUUCCGACAUCAUAUCUCGACAUUGUAUACUAGAGUGUGGACUGACAUAAGAUGAGACAAUAAGUAUUUUAAGAGAUGAAAAAAACUAUUUAAAACUCGGAAACCGUAUAAAUAUACGGUGUCUAUAUCUAAAUUUGUGUUUGAAAAAUACUUCUCUUCGUAUAUAUAUAUAUAUAUUAUCUACUUUAUACGUAGAAUAUUCUCAAAACAAGUACCACCAUGGUGACUUAAUUUUUGCAUCUCUUUGUAUGAAUUCUCUUAGAUGCCUAGUUAAACAUAUAGUAUUUUAUUUAUUACAAGGACCACAAACACAUGAUCCAUCAAGGAUUUCACCUGUGAUAGGGAAACAACCUUAGCUAGACUUGAUCUAUUAGUGGUACAAUAUUUUAUUGCAGGUAGAAACACAUAUGAAGUUUUUUACUUAUCAGAAUGUGGGGAGUUAUGACUAUUAACUUUAAUGUAUCGUGCACUAGUGAAAAUUGCAAAUUAAAUUUGAAUUUACAAAGUUUAUAUAUAUACACAUAUCAAUCGUACUAACCAAGUUUAUAAUUAUAUCCUUAAAAAAUGGAUACUAAAUUCUAAUUAUCAUUAAUAACUCUGUCUAGACAAAAUUAAUUUCUAGUAGAAUGAGUCUGUUUUAAAAAAGCAUUCAAGAUGUGAGACAUGACAGAAGCAAAGACUUAUGCCAAAACAGAUAUGUUUGACUGUCUUUCAUUUGUAUGUUUUUGAGACAACACAAACAACAUAUACUAAAACAAAGAAUUGGUAGGGGGAGGGGGCAAAAAAGAGAGAGGAUAUGAAAAAUAUAAAUUAUAUUUGAGGGUUGAUUUUCAACCACUUGAAGAUGUUACAUGCACAAAUUCAAUUACUGCUAUUUGCUAAUGACUAUACUUAACUGUCAAAUAGUACAAUCCACUGAGAUAGGUAGAUACAUAUAUUUAAAAAUACUUGAAAAAAAGUGCUUCUGACUAAGAGUACUUAUGCCAAUUGAGAAGCAUAUAGAUACACAUCCUCAUAAUAUAAAACUUCCCCUUUUGUUGCCUCACCAUUCUUCUCCAUUUGGCAAAUCUUCUACCCAUGUUUCCCAACAUUUCCAAAUUGAUCCAACUAGAGACCCUUGGCACACAAUUUAUUGGGAGUCAAAAUCCUAUCUGGCAAAAGACAAUGUCCCAAUUGGAUUCACGUUUGAAAUUCCAAUGUCAAGGCUCCACUUGUUAUUGGAUUUGACACCAACACACGUGCUUUUCUCUCUUUUCAAAAUUCAUCUUAAAUGCAUAGUUUUUCAGUUAAAUCAUGCCGGCAAUUAGUGAUUGUCACUUCUCUAAAAGUGAUUAAUUUAUAAGUACAAAAAUAAGUCACCCUUACCUAAACCUCACAUCAUUAAUCCUUUCAAACCUUAGGGGCCUAUGAUUCUACAAGCAGUUCAAAUGAAGGACACAUGUGAAGAUUUGUUUUGUUGCACAUUCAUUAGGAUCAUUCCAAAAAACUUCACGUGAGCACCAUCAUUCACCCUCUUGAAUCAUAAUGAGGAAUUGGGUUUGUUCUACCUCACAACAAGGGUCAAGCAUGUGAUUUGUAUGUGAUAAGCUUGUCAAAUAAUGUCUCAUUGUGAUGGAAAAGAUUGGCAAGCAAACGUUCAUAUAUCUUAUCUUAAAGCAGAAAGUAUUAAAGAUAAGAUCUUUAGUAGUAGUAGCUAAAAUUUGUGGACCUAAAGGGUUUAUGUUAAAUAGUUACAGUGAAAUUUGAGCUAUUGAGAUAGUCCUAGUUAGAAAGCUACACCAAUGAAAGUAGCACACUUAGUCAAAGGGUCAAUAUCAAUUAUCAACCUUUGGGGGACAUGUUAUUUCAAACGGUUGGUAUUUUGUGCUGUAGUUCUAUGCUUUGAAAGGAAAGUUCCAGGUUGGUGGUGAGUCUUACUGUGACUUAAUUGGUUGCCUUCAUGAUGGGGUCUUGUGAAAAGCAAUAUCAUAAUAAAUAUUUAGAUGAUAUGUGUAGUUCAUGAUGUGACUAACUAAUUUGUAUCUCAACAUUUCCUUUGGAUAACAUCAUUAGCAUCUUGUGAUAGAGGGAGCCUUAGCUCUAUGGCUAGCACAUUGCUCCUUUGAAUAUGCAAUACUGUGGUAGAUUUUUAUUUAGUGAUAUGACAAAAUAAUAGAGGCAAUUUUUACAUCAAGAGAUAACUUAUGAGGCUGUUAUGCCAAAAAUGUAAGUUAUAAGAUGAAAUCAGAUCAUAGCUAGGUCUUGAAGUACUAUAAAACACUGUUUAUGACUAGGAGACAAUCUUUUCUCUAAGAAAGACAAAACUAUACUUUUAAAAAUUAAGUAAUAUCGAUUAAGAGGUGUACUAUUCAUAACACAAAAGUCUAGACACCCAAUAAAAUACAAAUAAGAUGUGUGUGGUGUUGGUAUUAAUGUUGGACUUUAUGUCUAAUAAAUAUUUUUCGUUAACUAAAUAUGGUUCGACUCAUUGAACAAUUUAUUUUAGAGUGUAAAAUAAGUAUUAUUUUAAUUAAUGAUUUAUAAAAUAAAGGUGAAUUUCAUAAAUUUGUUCAAAGGCAACCAACUUUUUCUUACUUUAGAAAGACUGAAUUCCUUCAAUUUAGGUGGAACAUACUCUCAAUUCUUGGAGCAAUAUUCUCUGAGCUGACCCAAUUGUAUGAUGUGCUUGUGGAGCCUCAAAACUGAACUACUCCAUCAAUUGGGAGUAUAUACUACUCCAAAUAUUAACUCCUUUUGUCAAUUUCUGAAUAAAUAGUCUCCAUAUUUUCAAUAUUCUAAAGGAAAACAAAUGUAUAUGUCAAAAAAGGAAAAAAUAAUAUUUCAAUCAUUAAUUACAAUGAUUUGUAGGUUUCAUUUUUUCCUAGCUUGUAUAUUCAAUUGGACAGUGAAUGUUCAUGUAGACAACAAAAAGUUAGAAAAAAACUAAAAAAUAAACCCAACAACAUUUGGAUGAUGAA